GGGGACGUUUUUGGAUUCGACGGGGGUAGUACGAGCGCGGGUUGCGGGUAGUGGGGACGCGUCCACUUCAUCAACGCUAAAGCCUAUUAAAUGGCAACCAAAAACAACAACUCGCUUUCGCAGCUUAAUAACCUGUGACGCGGCUCCUACUCUGCAUCGCCCAUGUGCCGGGAUAGGGGCUCAACCUUAGUGGGAUACGCUGUCUCAUCUCCGCCUGCGGUGAGCUGAAGAAGACAAUCAGGCUGACCCAAAGCAGAGCCGGUUACGGGGCGCUGCUCGGGUGACAUCAAAACUGUGACUACACCCGUAGAUGCCUGUGUGGCGUUGCCUUCGGACAGGGGUUCGACUCCCCUCGUCUCCACCA
rnacentral:tmRNA from 2 species